rnacentral:rRNA from 1 species
GAUGAACGCUAGCGGCAGGCCUAACACAUGCAAGUCGAGGGGUAGAAGUUUUCGGACUUUGAGACCGGCGCACGGGUGCGUAACGCGUAUGCAAUCUGCCUUACACUAAGGGAUAGCCCAGAGAAAUUUGGAUUAAUACCUUAUAGUAUAUUGAUGUGGCAUCACAUUAUUAUUAAAGAUUUAUUGGUGUAAGAUGAGCAUGCGUCCCAUUAGCUAGUUGGUAUGGUAACGGCACACCAAGGCUAUGAUGGGUAGGGGUCCUGAGGGGGGGAUCCCCCAAACUGGUACUGAGACACGGACCAGACUCCUACGGGAGGCAGCAGUGAGGAAUAUUGGUCAAUGGGCGCAAGCCUGAACCAGCCAUGCCGCGUGCAGGAUGAAGCAUCUAUGGUGUGUAAACUGCUUUUGUACGGGAAGAAACACCUCUACGUGUAGAGGCUUGACGGUACCGUAAGAAUAAGGAUCGGCUAACUCCGUGCCAGCAGCCGCCGUAA